GAUGAACGCUGGCGGCGUGCCUAAUACAUGCAAGUCGAGCGAACAGACGAGGAUCUUGCUCCUCUGACGUUAGCGGCGGACGGGUGAGUAACACGUGGAUAACCUACCUAUAAGACUGGGAUAACUUCGGGAAACCGGAUCUAAUACCGGAUAAUAUAUUGAACCGCAUGGUUCAAUAGUGAAAGACGGUUUUGCUGUCACUUAUAGAUGGAUCCUCGCCGCAUUAGCUAGUUGGUAAGGUAACGGCUUACCAAGGCAACGAUGCGUAGCCGACCUGAGAGGGUGAACGGCCACACUGGAACGGAGACACGGUCCAGACUACUACGGGAGGCAGCAGUAGGGAAUAUUGCGCAAUGGGCGAAAGCCUGACGGAGCAACGCCGCGUGAGUGAUGAAGGUCUUCGGAUCGUAAAACUCUGUUAUUAGGGAAGAAAAAAUGUGUAAGUAACUAUGCACGUCUUGACGGUACCUAAUCAGAAAGCCACGGCUAACUACGUG
rnacentral:rRNA from 1 species